rnacentral:rRNA from 1 species
CUACGGGCGGCACCAGCGAGGAAUAUUGCACAAUGGGGGGAACCCUGAUGCAGCAACGCCGCGUGGAGGAUGACGCAUUUCGGUGUGUAAACUCCUUUUAUAUGUCAAGAAAAUGAUGGUAGCAUAUGAAUAAGCACCGGCUAACUCCGUGCCAGCAGCCGCGGUAAUACGAGGGUGCAAGCGUUACUCGGAAUCACUGGGCGUAAAGGACGCGUAGGCGGGUUGGAAAGUCAGGUGUGAAAUCCUACAGCUUAACUGUAGAACUGCACUUGAAACUUCUAAUCUAGAGUAUGGGAGGGGGAGAUGGAAUUAGUGGUGUAGGGGUAAAAUCCGUAGAUAUCACUAGGAAUACCUAAAGCGAAGGCGAUCUCCUGGAACAUUACUGACGCUAAGGCGUGAAAGCGUGGGGAGCAAACAGGAUUAGAUACCCCCGUAGUC